rnacentral:lncRNA from 1 species
AGAGAUAUCUCCGAACUCCCCCCAAAAAAGAAUUUUUGGGUAUAAAGGUGGGUUAGGGGAUCAUGAUCCCUGACCUCAAUUUGCCCAUUAUCAUCCCUGCCUAGUAUGAAACAGGACAUGAUUUGUUUCAAAUAAUUCAGCCCUAAACAGUGCCAAUAAACAAAUGCACCUUUGUGCUUAGAAAUACAUACAGAAUGCCAAGAUAAUUAAAUGUUCCUAACCGUCUUUAGGGAAAAAAGAAAAUGUAAUGACUUCGGUAACGGUAAUAAUACAGACAAUGCUAAGCUUCUUGUAUACGUCUGCCUUUGAACUGGUUUGUGGAAAAACUGUGAAAAAGGAGUGGUUCUACAUUCACCACGAUGCCUUCCUAGGGGCUCAUCAUUCCCCGCCGAACACGUGGCCUAGAUUGCCCUCUUCAUUAAUUGCAUGAAAGGAUCCUACUUUGAACUCUCAACUUUCUUAUCCUGACCAUGUGGCCACGAGAUUCACAUAAUUAAUUAGAUUAUGAAUUUUACAAAUUAGCGACAGAGACACUCACCAAACCGGCCAGAUUCCAUAUAGAGUUCCAAGCUCCGUAACAAGAUCACUUCGUGCUUUAAAAUUAUUAUAUAAUUAAUUGGAUUCAAUCCUUUCCAUUCACUUGAUAAAUGGGUUACUUAACACAGCCUUGUCCAGUUUUGAUCUGCCUCCAGUUAUUGCUCUUGUAUUUUCAGUGUUGUUCUGCGAAGCUUUGCUCUCAUGAUCAAAGCUCUGCGUUACUCCAAUUUAAGCAACUCUUUUCUUUUGAACAACAUUCUUCGUCUGAUUGUGAUGAAGUAUAUCAAAAAUCUCGUCCAAAGAUGAUGUCUUGGAAAGAGGAUGCUGAUUGCUGCUCAUGGGAUGGAGUAACAUGUGAUAUGGUGGCUGGUAACGUGAUUGGCCUCGACCUUAGCUGUAGUUGGCUUCACGGCAACAUCCCUUCCAAUAGUAGCCUUUUCUUUCUUCCUCACAUACGAAAGCUCAACUUGGCUUUCAAUGAUUUUAAUUACUCCGAGAUUUCUUCUGGUUUUAGUCAACUUCCGAGCUUGACACUCCUUAACCUCUCUUCCAGCAAUUUCAUGGGGUCAAUUCCUGCAUCAAUAGGUAAUAUCACCCAACUUUCUUAUUUGGAUCUUUCAUAUAAUAAUUUUAAUGGUCACAUACCAUCUUCCUUUUCAAAUCUUGAGCAGCUUCACUAUUUAAUUCUGAGGAGCAAUUUUUUUUGUUGGUAAAAUGUUGAAAAGUCAAAUAAUGAUUUGUUAAUUUAAAAAAAAUAAAGUUGGUCGGUUUGUAAAUUUUAAAAGAUAAAGUUAGCUUUUAAAAAAUUUGUACAUACAAUUUGGUGAUGUUAAAAAUUAAAUAUAGCAACAAAUUAUGUAUGUAAUUAUUGACAAAUAUGCAUGAUUUUAAUGCAUGCAAUGCAAGAUCCAGCUCAACGUUUUGACCAAUUGAACCAAAUUUGGUGCAAAAUGUUUCUUUAUCAAUUUUUAAUAUCACCGAAUUGUAUGUACAAGCUUUUUAAAACCUUUUUCAUGCUUUCAAAAUCUAACUUUGUCAUUUGAAGUUGGCAAGCCGACCAAUUUUGCUUUUUUAAAAUUGACAAGCCAUUAUUUGACUUUUCAACAAUUCUCCACCUCGACGAAGAUUUAAUAAAUCUGAGCUGAUUAUCAACAAAUCAUCCUCCAAUCUUUGCCUUCUCCGACUACUUUCAACUUGAUGAAAAAACUGCAUUUUUACAUGGUGAUUUGGAAGAGGAAUUUUACAUGACUCAGUCAGAUGGAUUCAAGGUUGCUGAAAAAGAAAAUUGAGUUUGCAAAUUGACAAAGUCGCUUUAUGGAUUGAAACAAUUUUCGAGGCAGUGGUAUAAACGAUUUGAUCGAUUUAUGAAAGGGCAAAGGUACACAAGAAAUAAAUUUGAUCAUUGUGUGUAUUUUCGCAAGCUACAAGAAGAAUCUUUCAUUUAUUUGCUGUUGUAUGUCGAUGAUAUGCUAAUAGUAUCGAAGAGCAAAGAUGAGAUUGAGAAGUUGAAGACUCAACUCAAUCAAGAAUUUAAGAUGAAAGAUCUAGGUAAAGCUAAGAAGAUUCUUGGCAUGGAGAUAUGCAGAAAUAGAGCUUGUGGCAAAGUAAGCUUGUCUCAAAAGUAAUAUUUGAAGAAGGUACUACAACAGUUUGACAUGAUAGAGCAGACAAAACCUGUGAGGACCCCGUUGGCUUCUCAUUUCAGGCUUUCUGCACAACUUUCUCCUUCAACAGAUGCAUAACGAGAAUACAUGUUACAAGUUCCGUAUUCAAAUGCACUAGGUAGCUUGAUGUAUGCAAUGAUGUGUAAAAGGCAUAACAUUUCACAUGCAGUUGGUAUAGUGACCACGUAUAUGCAUAAUCCUGGUAAAGGGCAUUGGCAAGCUGUGAAAUGGAUUUUACGGUGCAUUCAGAAGACCAUGGAUGUUGGUUUACUGUUUGAGCAAGAUGAUACACUUGGUUAGAGUGUGAUCGAGUACGUCGAUUCUGAUUAUACUGGUGAUUUGGACAAACGACGGUCAACCACGUGAUAUGUAUUUAACUUUGCUGGAGGGCCAAUCAGUUGGAAGUCUACACUACAGUCUACAGUUGCACUGUCGACCACAGAGGCCGAGUACAUGGCAAUUACAGAGGCUGUUAAAGAGGCUGUUUGGUUACAAGGCUUGCUUGAAAAUUUGGGAUUAAUACAGGAGCACAUUAAUGUAAAUUGGAACAGUCAAAGUGCUAUUCACUUAACAAAGAACCAAGUUUAUCAUGCAUGUACGAAGCAUAUUGAUGUACGAUUUCACUUUGUGCGGGAAAUUGUUGAUGAUGGGAAGAUUCUUCUUCAGAAAAUUAAGACUGCAGAUAAUCUUGCAGAUAUGUUGAUCAAGGUAGUGACGGUGAUCAAGUUUGAGAAUUGUCUAAACUUGAUCAAUAUCCUGCAAGUUUGAAAGCAGUCAGAGAAGGCAGAGAUUGAAGGAUGAUUUGUUGAUAAUUGGCUUAGAUUUACUAAAUCUUUGCUGAAGUGGAGAAUUGUUGAAAAGUUAAAUAAUGGCUUGCCAAUUUCAAAAAAGCAAAGUUGGUUGGCUUGCCAAUUUCAAAAGAUAAAGUUCGGUUUUGAAAGCAUGAAAAAAGUUUUGAAAAUCUUGUACAUACAAUUCAGUGAUGUUAAAAAUUGAAUAUGUCAACAAAUUACACAUGUAAUUGUUGAUAAAUAUGCAUGACUUUAAUGCAUGCAAUGCAAGAUCCAGCUCAACAUUUUGACCAAUUGAACCAAACUUGGUGCAGAAUGCUCUCUAUAAAUAGAGAAGCAAUUUGCAAUUGUAAGCAUCCCAAUUUGAGAGAAGUAUAGAGCAAUUACAAGUGAGCUCUUUGAGAGAUUUGAGAGAGUGUCCACUUGAGUGUUCUAGUGAGGUUCUAUUUGGGUGUAUUGGGGUUGUGGGUUUUGUGAGCUUUUGUCACUUUUAUAAAUUCUCAUUUGUUAGUAAAAUUAUUUUCUAGUUUUUGUCCGUGGACGUAGGCAUUACGCCGAACCACGUAAAUUAUUGUGUCUUAUUUUCUUUGCAUUUGUUUAUUACCACAUGCAUAUUUCUCUAGAAGUCGCAGUAUUAGUAAUUGCUCAACCUCGCGCUUCCGCGACAUAAAAUUCUUGAUAUUUUUACCAAUCCAACCCAACUUUCUUACUUAGAUUUAAGUAGUAACCAACUUUCUGGCUCAAUUCCGAGUUCAGUCUAUGAGCUUGAGAAUUUGAUUCUUCUCAGACUUUCUUCAAACAGGUUAAGCGGCACCACUGAACUGUACGAUUUUGCAAAGCUCAAAAAUCUUAAAUGGCUAUUUGUUUCUAAUAAUAGAUUAUCAUUGAGCACCAAAUUAAAAGUCAACUCUUCCUUUCCCAAUCUUUUUGGGUUGGGUUUAUCUGCUUGCAAUAUAAGUGAAUUUUCGGACAUCUUGAGAACCCUGCAUCAAUUGCAGUGGUUGAACCUUUCUAAAAACCGAAUUCAUGGUAGGAUUCCUAGUUGGAUGUGGGACUUAGGAAUAACUACUUUCUAUUACCUAGAUCUUUCCAACAACUUCCUGACAAACAUUGAAUAUUUUCCACCGACAAAUAUGACCCAACUUAACUUUGAUUCGAACCUCACACACAAGGUCUUGGAUAUGAGAAUGAACAACUUCAAUGGAAAAAUCUCUCAAAAGUUUGUAAAAAGUUGUAAUUUGACAAGUCUUAACCUUAAUGGAAAUCGGCUGGAAGGACCACUGCCACUAUCUUUGGUGAAUUGUCAUCACUUGGAAGUUUUAGAUGUUGGGAAUAAUCAAAUUAAUGAUAACUUCCCCAAUUGGUUAGAAAUUCUUCCAGAAUUACAAGUUCUUAUCUUGCGUUCCAAUAGAUUUUGGGGUCCCAUUGGUGACAACACAACAAUAGUUCCAUUCCCUAGGUUAAGAAUAAUUGAUUUGUCUCACAAUGAAUUCACCGGAGUUUUGCCAACAGGAUAUCUUGAUAAUUUUAAAGCCAUGAUGCAUGGGAAUAAUAAUAGUGUUGAAGUGGAUUAUAUGACACCUUUGAAUUCUUCUAAUUACUAUGAAUCAAUAAUUUUGACUAUCAAAGGCAUUGACAUCAAAACAGAGAGAAUUCUAACCAUUUUUAUGACAAUUGAUUUGUCGAGUAAUAAAUUUCAAGGAGGAAUUCCAGAAGUGGUGGGAAAGCUCAAUUUACUUAAAGGUCUCAACGUUUCUCACAACAACCUUACAGGUGAUAUUCCAUCAUCGUUGAGAAAUUUGACCGAGCUCGAAUCUCUAGACUUGUCUUCAAACAUGCUUGUUGGGCAUAUUCCAACGCAAUUGACGAGUCUGAAAUAUCUUUCAGUGCUAAAUCUUUCGUACAACCAGAGGGACCUAUACCUCAAGGAUCCCAAUUCAAUACAUUUCGAAACGAUUCCUAUGUUGGUAACUCAAGGUUGUGUGGAUUCCUAUUGUUAGAAAGCUGCAACGUUGAUGAGGCGCCAGAACCAGUAGGGUCAACAAGAUUCGGUGAAGAAGAAAAUGCUUCAAGUUGGUUUGAUUGGAAGUUUGCUAAGAUGGGUUAUGGAUCUGGAUUGGUGAUUGGCUUGUCCAUCGGAUACAUAGUAUUUGGGACUGGAAAGCCACGAUGGCUUGUAAGGAUGAUUGAAAAGAAUUAAUCUAACAAGGUCAGGAUAAGAGUGAGCUGUCUUGGUAUCGCAAGAAGAAAUUAGUAAGUGCAUCACUUUCUCAUAUUAGUUUAAGUAGGUUGCAUGCUGAUAUUUUCCAUCAUCUCAACUAAUAUUUUAACCAAAUAUUAAUAAUCUGAUGUGUUUUUUCUUCAGGACUAUCACAGUUCCGGCCUAAUGGUCCUUUUAAAAACGGCCCAGGCCGUGCCACGUCAACAUCAAAAGAUCAUCCAUGUCACUGGCCUAUGAUCUCCGCCACAUCAGCACUCAAGAUUAUAAUCUUAUAAAAAAAAGGCUGUGGAAAUUCAUCGUAUACUUGGAUUUUGUUUUCACUGUUCAAAGAUCUUUUGUUUCCCCUGUAUAUCGAGAUUUUGGCAUCAAUAUAAUUAAUUUGAUUGUUUUAACUCACUUCAAUUAUACCUAUACUAUAUAUUUUGCUAGUUUGCAUAAUGUUGUCAUGAACACUAUAACAGCUAAUCUGAAUCAUCAAACCAAUAACAAUAUCAAAAUACUAACUGCCAACAACUUCUUCUAGAGAUUAGAAUCCUCUCUUUAUAUGACUUUUCUUGAGCUUUUAACGAUCUUAUGUUAUAUAUUAUGUAAUAAUAAUGUAUGUAUAGGAAUAAAUUUUUUUAUUUUUUAAAUUUAUUAACAGCCAAUCAGCACAUAAAUUUUUACUCAAGAAAAAUUCAGAUCAUAAGAGAUUUUUAAUCAUUCUUUUAGAUAGCAUGCACGAUAAACACAUGUAUGCUUUUAGACAAAAUGUUGUAAAGAACAGUGCCUGCACUUUGUCCUCUUUAGCACUUAUUUAGCAAUGCUUCAUGACUCUUAUCACCAAAAUGAUCAUGGCAUUAGAACCCUUAAGCUCAUGGCAUUGCGUCAUUGAACACAACCCACAAUUAGCUUUCAUUUGAGGAAUGGCACCAGAACCAGACAUGAUUACUAAUUAAUUAUAUUUUUUAGUUUUGUUGCUGUUGAUUAAUUAAUUUAAGAGAAUAUGUAUAUUCUUGGCAAGCUAGCUAGAAAUAACAAGCGCUUCAAUUGAGAGCAAAAAAAAAAAAAAAAUCACAUAUAGUCAGAGGAGAGUCUACUGAGGACACGUGUAAUGGGAUGGGGCCUUUAUAAGGUGUUUUUGUUUCCUACCUUCAAUUUUUCUUCUUUUUUAUAUGACGCCAUUUCCACUAAUUAUAAUUUUUUUAAUCUAAUAAGUAAUAUGUGAAAGAAAAACUUUAUGAUAUAAAAAGUUAUAUCAAAAUAAUAAACUACAAGUAAAUUUGCAUACCUUCAUUUAGUGUUGUUCGAGUAUAGAAAACACUCAAACAUAUUACGGAUCUUCUAGCCUAUUCCUUCUUGAUAGCCUUAAUAAGUUGUGAAGGCCAGGCUAGCUAGGGGCCCCAUAGAAUUUAAAAUGGACUUGAUCAUUUUCUUCUACUAAGAAAAUUAAUAAAUUCUUCUUUAUCUUAAUCCGUCAGGAAUUCCUGAAUACUCGUUGUAUCAUUAUCCAAUCCUUUAGAAACAUGCGAGCAUUUAUAAUUAUCUUUUAAUUAAAACUAACUGGCUACAUAUAUGUGAGCUCUAAUUAAAUCCCGAUCCAUAUAUGUGAGCCACAUCUAGAAAAGUGAGUCUAACCAUAUAUAAUUUAUUGUAAGCCAUCGUCAAUGCAAUCAUUAUUUUAUUUCCAUUCAAAUUAAUCACGAUCAUCACACAACUGAUCAUGCAUACACUCAUAGACUUGUUUCAGUACCGCUGUGAUAUUUGAUUAAGCUGUAUUAAUUUAUCUUACGUGAAAUUAAGACUUGGUCGUGGUCAGACAGCAAGUAAAGUGUGAGAAUGUAUAAUCUGAAUCUAGAAGAGUUGGGGGUUUUUGAUUUCCGAUAUGCAAAGAUUCACAGCUGAGAAAUUUCAAUUAAUACCACCAUUAUCUCUACAACAAGGAUUCCACUUCCCAUCUACGUAGAUUCCAAAACAAGGCUUGGUGCACUAAGUCAACAAGUAUUAUAUUAUAUAAUUAAUACUUGAUGAAUAGCCAUGCAUUUCUCUUCUAUAUAAACUCAUAUAUCUCUCUUGUGAUUUCAUCGGGAACCAAAAAAAGAAAAAAAGGGCUAUUUCACUCAGUAGUAUCAACUUUUGAUCUGCCUCCAGCUACGUUUUGUGUUUUCGGUGUUCUGCUAAACUCUGCUCUCAUGACCAAAGUUCAGCAUUACUCUAACUUAAGCAACUCUUUUCUUUGGAAAAAGUUGUAGAAUAUCAAUAAUCUCGUCCAAAGAUGAUGUCUUGGAAAGGGCAUGCCGAUUGCUGCUCCACUGAAUGAACAAAUUCAGUGGCAAUCUCCCUCAUACGUUUGCAAAAACUAGUGUUUUGUCAAGUCUUAAGCUUAAUGGCAAUCGGUUCGAAGGAUCAUUGCCUCUGUCUUUACGAAGGAUCAUUGCCUCCAUCUUUGUUGAACUAUCAGUAUUUGGAAGUUUUAGAUUGAAGAGAUUGUAAAGUUAUACAAAUUGAACCAUAUCAAUCACUCCCAAGAUCACUGAUUCAGAUUUCCAAGAUGCAAAAAAGAUGAUCUGAUUAGCUAAUAAUGAUGAAUGAACCGAUGAUCAGAAUGAUGAAUUGACCAUAAACAAUCAAUAGAAACACAAAACCACGGGAAAGAACACAAGACACAGCAAAUAAUGUGGUUCAGUCAAUUUGCAUUGACUUACAUCCACGAGAGGAACAAAUCGAUCAGUUUAUUGACUGAAUCAAGUUUUCUUUACAUAGUGGAUACAGAGCUAUGUUCAAGGAACAAGAAGACCUUCUUCACUUAAGCUUUUUUUUUUUUUCUCUCUCUCUCUCUCAAAACCUCUGGAUCUCUGUGUUUGUUAAACCAGAACCAGUUGCAUUUCUAGGUUUAUAACGAACCCAGUUACUUGCCCAAUAUUGCAAGUGAGAAGCAAAUGCUUUUAACAUCUUUAACAACCUUUACACAUCAUUCAAAACUUCACGUGCACUGCUCAUGGUUCUUUAAGUUCCAGCAAAGUUCUAAGUCGUUUAAACAAGUAAUAUUAAGACACCAUUAAACACAGAUCAUAAUGUUGUUUUGCUUAGCUUCAGUCACCAAAAUGCAUUGCUUUCUUGUUGUUUCAUCGAUCUUUUGAUUUGAUUCACUUUGCUUCAACAAAAUCUCCACCUUGAAACAAAUCAAACCUGACUAGCGUUUCUCCUCAUCCCUCUGCAAUUUAGAGACUACAUAAACUAACCAUGUUCAAGUAAACCUUGAACGUAGCUGUUGGAACCACUUUUGUAAGCAUGUCUGUAGAAUUAUUGUUUGUAUGAACCUUCAACAUUUUGAUCACACCUUUUGACACUUCAUUUCUGAUAUAGUGUAAUUUGACAUCAAGAUGCUUGGUUCUCUCAUGAUGAGCUGGAUUUUCACUCAAGUAUAUUGCACUAGAGCUAUCACAGUGAAUUUCAACAGUUUCUUGAGCUAUCCCUAAUUCUGCAAUCUCCCUUUGAGCCACAAAGCUUCUUUGACUGCCUCUAUACCUGUUGUAUAUUUAGCCUCUGAUGUUGACAAAGCAACAACAUGUUAGAGACUUGCUUUUUAGUUGAUAAUGCAGCCAUCUAGCAUAAACAUAUACCCUGUUAAAGACUUUCUUCUAUCAUAGUCCUCAGCAAAAGCUGAGUCCACAUAACCCCACAAGCCACUACUUAUGGCAUAUAACAAUCUAUAUUUCUGAGUACCAUUGAGACACCUCAAUGUUGACUUGAUUGCUUGCUAGUGCUCUUUCCCAUGUGCUACUAUAUAUCUGCUUACAAUGCUUAAAGCGUCAGAAAUAUUAGGUCUUGUUAAGACCAUAGCAUUCAUCACAGGCUCCACAGCAUUGGCAUAUGGAACUUUUUCCAUUUCAGACUUUUCUUUAUCUGUUUUAGCACACUGCACAUUUAAGAGUUUGAAAUGAGAUGUCAAUGGCGUCAAGACAGGCUUACAGUUUGUCAUACCAAAGGUGUUAAGCACCUUUUUCACGUAUUUCUCUUGUGAGAGAAAUAUAGUUUUUUCUUUUCUGUUUUUCUUUAUUUCCAUGCCUAAGACCUUCUUGGCAUGUCCUAAAUCCUUCGUCUCAAACUCUAAACUCAGCAGCAGCUUUAAGGUUUCAAUCUCAUCUCUUUAUUUACAAGCUAUUAACAUAUCAUCUGUAUACAUUAACAAGUAUAUGUUGAGAUGUGUCUUAAGUAGCUUGUAAUAUACCCAACAAUCAAAGCUGCAUCUAUUGAAAAUAUUUGAGGUAAUGAACUCAUAAACCCGAUAUACCACUGUCAUGGGGACUACUUCAAGCCAUCUAGUGAUUUUUUCAAUAAAAACACAUAAUCAGCCCUCUUUGGAUUCAUAUACCUCUCUGAUUGAGUCAUCAGAAUCUCUUCUUGUAGUCAUCAAUGCAAGAAAGCAGUUUUGACAUCAAAUUGAUCAAGGUCCAUGUCAUGAACUGCUGUUAAAGUUAAUAACAUUCUUAUUAAAGCAUGUUUGACUACAGGUGAAAAAACUUCCUUGAAGUCAACUCCCUCUCUUUGGGUAUACCCCUUGGCUACUGACCUGGCCUUAAAGCUCCCGGGUUCUAUAGUUGUUAGGCCUUCUUUAACCCUGUAGAUCUAUUACAGCAAAUUAAUCCCUUAUUGUUAGGUUUCCUUACCAGCUCUCAAGUGUUGUUGUUGUAAAGUGAUGACAUUUCUUCAUCUAUAGCCUGCUGCCAUUAAGUCUUGAAUAAGCUUUGCAUUGCUUCUUUACAACUGCUUGGUUCUUCUCUAUCAAUUUUAUGUGAUGUAGCAAGUGCAUAUACAAUGACAUCUGCAUAGCCAAAUCUCCUUAGGAGUCCAAUCGUUCUUCUUUCUCUGUUUUUAGCCAAAUGAUAAUCUUCUAACUGAGGCUUAUGACGUCCUCUGGUUUUGUCACUAUCAUCAAUACCACCUUCAUCUGAAUCGAUAGCUACAUUUGAAGGUUUUUAUAUUGGCUACUCCACUUCAAAUUGAACAUUAUCAUCAGUUUUAUCGUUAAGUUCAGUAUCUCUGGUAGAUUGAUUCUUAUUCAAUACCACUUCCUUAUUAAACACCACAUCUCUAUUAAUUAUACAUUUUAGUAUAGACAAAUUUGUACACCAUAUCAGAGCUCUUUCUGGAUAACCUAUAAAUAGCUCUUUCAGAGCUCUUGGUGCCAAAUUGCCUUGAUUUAUAUGUGCAUAAGUAGUACAUCCAAACACUUUUAUUUUGCUGUAGUCUACAGGUUUACCAGACCACUUUUCAUGAGGUGUUUUGAAAUCUAUAGUUGAAUAAAGACUAAGAUUUACUAGUAAAUAAGCUACCAACAAGGUUUCUGCCUAUAACCCUUUAGGUAACUCUAAUUGAAUCAUCAUACAUUUGACUUUGUCCAUUAGAGUUCUAUUCAUCCUUUUACUUAAUCCAUUCUAUAUCUAAUAAUGCCUUCACUUGAACAGAAUUAAUUAACUAUCUGAUUGCAAUACUUAAGUCUAUUGUUUGUUUUCGGCUUCUUCAGUUUCUUUGCUGUUUGGUUUUCAACAAGAGCUUUCCACUCUUUAAACUUCCCAAACACUUGGUCUUUAGUUAUGAGAAUAUACAACCAAACCUUCCUUGAGAAAUCAUCAAUGAUAGACAUGAAAAGUCUAUUUCCACCCAAAGAUGGAACGUUUGAAGGUCUCCACAGAUCUGAAUGCACAUAGUCCAGGAUGCUUUUGGUUUUGUGAAUAGAUUUCUUAAAACUAACCCUUGCAAAUGUCCCUAGAAUACAAUCCUCAUAGAAAUCUAGCUCUCUAAACUUAUCAGUUCCCAAAACACCCUGUUUUUCUAAUUUUUUAAGAUCUUUCAAGCUCAUUUAUCCAAUCUUAAAUGCCGCAAUCUGAUAUUAUUUGUAUUAGUCUUAGUUGACACACUAGAUUCACUAGUCACUAUUUCACGAUCUAAGACAUAAACACCAUUUUUUUAACGUCUCAUUCAUAAUUAGUGUUGUACCAUUUAAGAUCCUCAGUUCACUAUAUUCAACCUUGAAACUGCAUCUUAUCUGAUCAACCGCCUCUGAAAGAAAUUAGAUUUCUCUUUAGGUCUACUACACGCAUGACUUGCCUAAUUUCCCUUGCAGUCCCAAUCAUUAGUUUAAGGCUUAUGUCCCUCAUCUCAAUGACUUUACAUGCUGCAUUGUUACACCAAAAUCAACUGCAAUUUCCGGUUUAUAACAAACCCAGGUACCUGCCUACUAUCGCGCUUGAAAAGCAAGUGCUUUUAACAACUUUAACAACCUUUACACGUCAUUAAAAAAUUUCACAUAAAAUGCUGAUGCUUCUUUAAGUUCCAAGUCAUUUAAACAAGUAGUGUUAAGACACCAUCAAACACAUAUCAGAAUGUCAUUUUGCUUGAGCUUCAGUUACCAAAACUUAUUGUUUUUUUGUCGUUUCGUCAAUCUUUUGAUUUGAUGCACUCUAGUUCAACAUAGAUGUUGGGAAUAAUUAGUUUGAAGGUACCUUUCCCUAUUGGCUAGAAGUUUUUCCUAAAUUGCAAGUUCUUAUAUUAUGUUUAAAUAGAUUUUAGGAUCCCAUAGGUGAUACCAAAGCAAGAGUUCCCUUCCCUAAGUUGAGAAUGUUUGAUCUCUCUCACAAUGAACUCACCGGUGUUUUGCCAAUAUUUUGGAUCAUUUUAAAAUUUUAAUAAAAUAACUGAAUUUAUUUAUAAAAAAUUAUAAUUUUGUAAAAUUUUAAUAAAAUAACUGAAUUUAUUCAUAAAAAAUAAAUCCCAAAAUUUUAAUAAUUUAGGAGAUUUUUAUUAAAUCCCAAAAUUUUGUAAUUAUUUUUAUACUUAUAUUUUUUAUUAAAAAUAAAAAUUUUAAUUUUUAGAUUUAUUUCUUUAUUAAAUGUAGGGGUAUUUUUAUAUAAAAUAAAAUCAUCUUUUAAUUUAUUUAGGGAUAAAAUUAUUAUUUCGUUUAAAUUAUUUAACGGUGUUAGUGUAAAAGUGGCUAAUUGAUACAAAUUUCAAAAGAAAAGGUGGCGCAGAGAACAUGUUAGAAUUUUGUAGUGGUUGGAUGAAUAUAAAGCAAAAAAAAAGUGGUGCAAUAAUAAUUUCCCCAAAAAAAUGACAAUCAAAGGCAAUGACAUAAAAGAGAAAAGGAUUCUAACCGCUUUUGUUGUUAUUGAUUUGUCGAGCAACAUAUUUCAAAGAGGAACUCCAUAAGUGGCGGGAAAUUUUAAUUUACUAAUGUCUGGACAUUUCUCACAACAACCUCAUGGGUGGUAUUCUAUCAUUAUUAGGAAAACUAACACAGCUUAAAUCUCUAGACCUAUCUUCAAAUAAGAACAAUAUAUCUUUCUCGAUCAAUCACCUUGCCCCUCAUUCUUCGAGAAUAAGAAAUAUCAUUUUCAUGUUUCAAUUUGUUCAUUUGGAAUCUGGGUUCGCUCCUUUAUGGAAGAUUGAUAUAUUCCCAGAGAGAUGUCGGGGGCAAAAUAACAAAAGUCAACCCAUAACAUCUAUGUGAGCCUUUUUUUUUUUUCUCGUCUGAAUGAAUUCAAAACAAUCCGCUUUUCUAGAUGAUCCUUCUAGAAGAGUGGGAUUAUAACAAUACCAAUCUUUCUAGUUACAUCAUUCUCUAUUACUAUUUGAAAGAAUCCUUAGGAAAAGUUUUUUGUUUCCCCCGAGCUAAAUUAAAAAAAUCUCUUACAAUGCUAAAUCUUUCGUACAACCAGAUUGAGGGACCAUAUACCUCAAAGACCCCAAUUCGAUACGUUUCAAAAUGAUUCCUAUGUUGGUAACCCCAAGUUGUGUGGAUUCCUAUUGUCAAAAAGCUACAACAUUGAUGAGGUGCCAGAACCAACAAGAUUUCAUGAAGAAGAUGAUGCUUCGAGCUGGUUCAAUUGGAAGUUUGCUAAGAUGGGAUAUGUAUCUGGAUUGGUGGUUGGCCUGCUUCAUCGGACACAUAGUAUUUGCGACUGGUAGGCCAUGGUGGUUUGUAAAAAUGAUCAAAAGGAAGCAAUCGAAGAAGGUUAGAAGAGUGAUCAGACGACGCAAAACAAGAGGAAUAAAUAAGUAAGAGCGUCUUUAAAGGCCGAGGUUAGUAAAGAUGGCCGACGAGCCAUGCCAGCGUCAAACCAAGGCUCGCUAGGGUCCAUAGGCUGACACUACUACUACUACUACUAUUAUGACUACUACUACUGCUGCUGCUGCUGCUACUACUACUACUGCUGCUACUGCUGCUGCUGCUACUCCUACUGCUACUACUACUACAACUGCUGCUACUGCUACUACUGCUACUACUACUGCUACUAUUGCUACUCCUACUACUGCUACUGCUACUACUACUGCUACUCCUACUACUGCUACUCCUGUUGCUGCUCCUACUACUACUACCACCACCACCACCACUACUACUACGUGUUUUUUCGCAUACUGUUCUUUGACCCAUCUCUAAUUAUCUAGCUUUUUAAGGCUAACUUACCUAAAAUUCUAAGCUCAGUCCAGUCACGUGUGUGUCGUGUCGUGCUACGUGCCUUACCAAAACAUGCUUGUAUCAUGCCGUGCUGUACGGACAUGUCCUGUGUCCGUGCCACGUGCCGCCCGGCUCGUUAGCCAUCUUUAGAGGUGAGUAAUUACUAGUUUGUACUUAAGAAUUAUAAGCUGGUUUAUAAUUUUCUUCGAGUAGAUAUCAUGGUGAUGUAUAUUUUCAUAUUCUAAUAAAUUGAUUUACGAAAACCACAAUCCAGAUUGAAUUCUAAUUAUAUAUUUAUAUUUAUAAUCAACAUGUAUAGGAAAAAAAAAACGAGGAAAUUUACCUUAAUUGAUGAUGUGAUUUUUCUCCUCAGGAAUUUUAGUCUCAUGAUACCCCUUUUUUUUUUUUGGGCUUUAAGUUAUAUCCCUUUUAUGAGAACUUGUUAUCACAUACGUAUGUUUUGAUGGAUUUUAAGUUAUUCAAUUUAUACUCAGGCCAAACUGGGGCAGCCAACCAAAAUACUUCUCCACUCUCUUACACAUUAAUAUCAAGGAUGAUUCAAAUCCAUUUUCUUUUUACGCUCAGUCAAUUUUUAUUUUGGAAAUAAAUAAAAUAUAUAACCCCACUGUCUUUUUUAAUAAGAAUAAUGAUCCGUAUUUGAAUCUCAACUAAUGUGACAUUUAUAUAUUAUAUUAGAUGAUAUAAUAUUAAUACUAAUAAUAAAAUUUAUCAUUUAAUAAACGGGCCAUACAUAUAGUUUAAUACAAAUUGGAAUCCAAAUGCUAGUUACUAGCAUUAUUGUUUUAAUAUAAUUCAUAUAAACUAGUUACUUGGAUUAUCUGGAACGCAUUCAUCAAAGUAGCUAAUAUUUAGUUAAUUAGAGUGAAUAUUUAUUCACAAACUCUUGGACGAAUUGGGCUGCCAAUUCAAACCUUAAAAUAUUUGAGAAAGUGGAAACAAAAUUUCUGAAUACUAUAUGUUUUAUUAACAAAAAGCUUUUUAACCAUGAUAUAUGACAUCUUUUCGUACUAAUAAUUCGCGAAACUCUAGUCCAUGAACAAAGAUUCGGGACUUUAUCAGUAAAAUACAAGAUACUAAAGUAUUAAAGCACACAAAAGCACGCAACAAUGGUAGUAACACAUGAGUUUUUUUAAAAGUACACGAAAAUAACAUCAAAUGCGAUUUUGAAUCUUGAAAGAGUAGAAUUUAGAAAAAGUCUUAUGGAUAUGAGGGUGGAAGGCAAUGUAACACCCCAAAUCUUGAAGAAACGUGUUUUCAUUUCUUAAAUAAAGCAUUAUACAUUGAGAGUUAUUUAUAGAUGCAGAUGCUACAUUUUUUCAAAGAUUACAUAUGUGAAUACGGAAGGAAAUGUGUCAAUCCGUUCGGCGCGGAUCUUGUCUUUGACAAGUGCAGAUUACCCCUUUGACAAGUGCAGAUUCUGUCUUUGAAAGCUUCAUUCAAUGCCGUUUUAUUUGAUUCUCAACACUCCCCCUCAAGCUGGUGCAUAGAUGUCUUGCAUACCCAACUUGUCUAGGAAUUUUGUAAAUGCCCUGCUUGAAAUGGCCUUCGUUAAAAUAUCUGCAAGUUGAUCUUCUGAUCGAAUUUUCGGCAGUUCUAAGAUUUUUCAUCUAAUUUCUCCUUGAUGAAAAAUCUAUCUACCUCCACAUGUUUUGUUCGAUCGUGUUGAACUGGGUUAUGAGCAAUAUCUCGUGCAACUUUGUUGUCACAGUAUAGUUGUAUUGGUUGUUGUGAUGGAUAGCCCAAAUCGUUUAAGAUAAAACUUAUCCAUAGCCCUUCACAUAUCCCAAGGGCCAUGCCUCGAUAUUCUGCUUCAGCGCUCGAACGGGCAACGACAUGUUGUUUCUUGCUUCUCCAUGUGACAAGGUUUCCUCCCACAAAGGUAAAGUAUCCUGAAGUAGAGCGUCUAUCACUAACUGACCCGGCCCAAUCUGCAUCAGUAUAAACUUCUAUAUUGCUGUAAUCUUCAUUUUUGGAAAAUAAGAUUCCUUUUCCUGGAUUUGUCUUCAGGUACCUCAGGAUCCGCAUUACUGCUUUCAUGUGUUGUUCUCCGGGAUUAUGCAUAAACUGGCUUACAACACUCAAUGCAUAAGCAAGAUCUGGCAUUGUGUGGGACAAGUACAUCAAUCUUCCAAUCAGCCUUUGAUAUCUUCCUUUGUCUACUGGAACUUGGUCUGAAGUAAUACAAAACUUCAGUCCUUCUUCUAUUGGGGUGUCAAUAUGCUGACAAGCUGUCAUUCCCGUUUCGUACAAUAGAUCUAAGGCAUAUUUCCUUUGAGACAGAAAGAUUCCUCCCUUAGAUCGAGAAACCUCAAUUCCAAGAAAGUAUUUUAAGGCACCUAAAUCUUUCAUCUCAAACUCUCUUGACAAGUACUUCUGAAGAGCCUCUGUUUCUUCCUCGUCGUUGCCUGUAACUACCAUAUCAUCCACAUAGACAAUAAGGGCAGUGAUUUUACCUUGUCGUUUUUUAAUGAAUAAGGUAUGAUCUGAAUUGAUUUGGUUAUACCCAAAACGAACCAUAGCCUUUGUGAAUUUCCCGAACCAUGCUCUUGGGGAUUGCUUCAACCCAUACAAUGAUUUCUUCAAUUUGCAUACUUUCUGAUUGAGUCGUUCUGGUCCACUGCAUCCUGGUGGCAGAUCCAUAUAAAUUUCUUCAGACAGGUCUCCAUGGAGGAAAGCAUUCUUUACAUCGAACUGUUGCACUGGCCAAUCCAAGUUGACUGCUAAUGAUAAUAAGAUACGAAUAAUAUUAAUUUUUGCUACCGGUGCAAACGUAUCAGUAUAAUCAAUCCCGUAGGUUUGGGUGUAACCCUUAACUACGAGUCUUGCUUUGUAUCGUUCAAUAGAGCCAUCUGCUUUGUAUUUUAUAGUGUAGAUCCAUCGACAACCCACUGGUUUCUUUCCUGGUGGAAGAUUAACUAGUUCCCAUGUUUGAUUUUUCUGAAGAGAUCUCAUUUCAUCAUUCAUAGCCGCUUUCCACUUUGGAUCUUUUAAAGCUUCCUGCACACUGUUAGGAAUAGAUACAGCAGAUAAUUGAUUCACAAAUGACUGAUUUGAUUCUGACAAUCGAUGAUUAGACACAAAAUGACUCAUAGGGUAUUUGACUCUACUAGAGAAGUCAUGCUCAUAUGUGAGUUUAGGGAUACCUCUAUUUUGACGCUGGGGAAGAAUUCUUCUGAUUGGACUUGUGGUAGGAACAUCCUCUGCAGACGAUUGGUUAGGUAUUUCUUCAUGUGACUCAUUCUCGAUUGCAGUUGUGUCUGAGUUAUUGUGCUCCCCAAAUGUGUCUUCACAUAUCUCAGCCUGCGAAUCAUCACCAUUUGCUUUUCCAGUAUCUUGAAGGUUUACUAUCUCAAUGGAAGAUUGACUUUCUUCAGGUGGAAGAUAUGUAAGAGUAUGAAUUUCCUCUUCAUUAUACUCCCCCUGAAAUUCAGACUCUGACAACUAGUACAUGAUAUCUUCAUGAAAAACGACAUCCAUGGUGAUGUAUAUUUUUCUUGAUGGUGGAUGAUAGCAUCGGUAUCCCUUUUGAUGUAAGGCAUACCCUACAAACACACAACGUAGUGCUCGAGGAGAUAAUUUGUCUUGUUGCGGCAAAUGAACGAAGGCAACACAGCCAAACACAUGUGGGGGCAGAUUCGGCACAUUUGGUGACAUAAUUGCAUCAUUCAGAACUUGGAAAGGAGUCUGGAAUCCAAGGGAGCUUGAAGGUGUUCGAUUGAUCAAGUAUGCUGCGGAUGCCAAUGCUUCUCCCCAAUAAGAUAAUGGCAUGUGGGCUUGGAUUAGUGAUGCUCGAACAACUUCUAGUAAAUGUCUGUUCUUUCGUUCAGCAACGCCAUUUUGUUGGGGUGUCCCCACACAAGUGGUUUGAUGGACAGAUCCUUGUGAUUUCAGAAACUGUUGAAUUGUUGUGCUCAUAUACUCACUUCCAUUAUCAGUAUGUAGAACUCGAAUUUGUGUCUGAAAUUGAGUUGUCACCAUCUUAUGAAAUCUUUGAAAUAAAGAGUUUACUUCGUCUUUCGAUUUCAUCAGAAAAAUCCAUGUCAUUCUGCUACAAUCAUAAAUAAAUGUAACAAACCAACGAGCACCUCCAAUUGUAGAAACUUUAGAUGGCCCCCAUACAUCAGAAUGUACUACCAUAAAAGGAACUAGAUUUUUAUUUAAGGACAAUGGAAAAGUAGUUCGAUGGCUUUUUGAAAGUUCACAAACAUCACAUUUAAAGUUACAAACAUCAAAUUUCAGAAACAAACUAGGAAAUAAUUUUUUUAAGUAACCAAAUGACACAUGCCCUAAACGUCUAUGCCAUAACCAAAUUUCUGAUUUCCCAUUUUUUAUGGAACUAUCUGCGACUAGUGCGGGGCUUAGCUUUCCAGUGUUUGUUGAUGACAUCUCCAAGUAGUACAAGUUGCCUCGUCUAAUACUAUAACCAAUUGUUUGCUUCGUUUGGAUGUCCUUAAACACACAAUGAUCAGGCCAAAAAAUUACAACACAUGAUAAGUAAGUGGUUAAUUAAGACACAGAUAAAAGAUUAUAAUCUAAAGAUGGAACAAUUAACACAGAGUCUAAAUUUAAUUCAUUUGUGAGUCGUAAAGAUCCUUCCCCAAUAACUGAGGUUGUGGUUCCAUUUGCAGUGGAAAUAUGUUUUUGUGAAGAUGGUUUCAAUUGAGAAACUUGUCGAGAAUCAAAAGUCAUAUGAUCAGUUGCCCCAGAAUCAAUUAUCCAUGUACUAUUAAUAACAUGUGUAAGAGUUUUAAGGGCCUUACCUGGACUGACAGAGGUUGCGAUUUGCACUGAAGAUUCUUUUCUAAGAUCUGUAGUGGAUGUGGAUUCAGCUACUGCAGUUUUUGAUCCAUGCUUGGUAUUCUUCUUUCGAGUAUCCCACCAGUCAGGAUAUCCAAUGAUUUCAAAACAUUGUUCUUUCGUAUGACCCUUCUUUCUACAAUGAGUGCAAUGGAGUGAUGACUUGUCAACAAACUUCCUUUGAGGCUGCUGUCGUGCUAUCAUAGCAGACGUUUCUGAGUCGACCUUCUUGUUUAGUUUGCUUUGCCGUAUAUCUUCUCUUCGGAUCAGAGAAUAACAUUCUUCUAAGUUUGGGAUAAUGUCUUUUCGUAGAAUUUCUCCACGAACUUGGUCAAAUUCUUCAUCUAGCCCAGCAAGAAAAAUGUGCACUCUCAAUCUUUCAACAGACCUUCUGUAUAUUACAACAUCUUCUGGAUCAUUCAUGACCACUUUAUCUCGGUGAUCAAGUUCUCGAAAUAUUUUGACCAAUUCUCCAUAGAAUUUAGAGAGUGGUUGUCCAUUUUGCUUGGUAGAGAAUGCCUUCUGGUUUAGAGUGAAAACUUGUAAUUCAUCGCUUCCAUCAUAGAAGGCUUUUGAUAAUGCAUCCCAGAUUUCGUAGGCUGUAGGAAUUCGUAAAUAUCGCUUCAUGAUCUCCGGAGACAUGGAUAUGAGUAACCAUCUUUUUACUUUUUGAUUCUCACUAUACAAUUUCUCAUAUUCCUUUGAAGAUUCCUCAAAUGGCUUUGUGCUGCUACGAAUAUAUGAGAGUUUUUCUCUUUCUGCAAGAUGCAUCUCCAUUAUUUGAGACCAAACAUCGUAGUUUGUCUCAGUGAGGAUAAUUCCAGCAUUAAAUACUCUAUCAGAUUGAACAGAUUGAAUGACAACAUGACUAGAUUCAGUUGGAGUUUGCUCCAUUUUUUUAUUUUUUUUUCUUUUUCUUUUUUCUCUUUUUUUUUUCUUUUUUCUCUUUUUUUUUGUUUGUUUUCUUUUUUUUUUGUUUUUUUUUUCGUCUAGAUUGAAAGAAGAAAAAAAAUAACCUUUUUAGGUAAAAAAACAACAGGUCGUUUGGCCACUGCUUGCCAAACCGACAUGUCGGUUAUGGUGGAAUAUAAACGACAUGUCGUUUUAAUCCUGCUGCACUUCUGGAGACUAAGCGUCACGUCGUUUUAUCUCUAAUUUAAAAAAUGACAUGUCGGUUUUAAUAUAACAAAAAACGACACGUCGUUUUGUGACUGCUGCACUUCUAAGAUAAAAACGACAUGUCGGCUGACGUCUUCUUCAACCUCUGGAGCGCGUGAGAGCGCGUGAAUGAUGACAGAGGCGCGUGGUUGACUGGCCGUGGCUUCGGGUGGCGCGUGGGAAUGUGUUUAAAUGCGAAAUUUUUACAGUUUCCUCACUGAAAACUGAGAAAUUUGAUGGUGUUCUUGGUUUUUGAGGAAAACACUCUCGGAAAAUUGAUAGGAUUGUUGAUAAAUUUGUAAACUCAAGUUUUUUACGUAUGGGUGGCUUGUUUCUUGAUCGGCAUGGAUAUCUGUAAUGGUAGGAAUGGGUUUAAGAAAGAAAAUGGUGGGAAAAAUGGUUGUGGGAGGAAUUUGGUUUCCUCUGUUUUUGUUACAAACAGAGCAGUGGAACUUGAAGAAACUUGAGUGUAUUCAUGGCUCUGAUACCAUGAAGAAACGUGUUUUCAUUUCUUAAAUAAAGCAUUAUACAUUGAGAGUUAUUUAUAGAUGCAGAGGCUACAUUUUUUCAAAGAUUACAUAUGUGAAUACGGAAGGAAAUGUGUCAAUCCGUUCAGCGCGGAUCUUGUCUUUGACAAGUACAGAUUACCCCUUUGACAAGUGCAGAUUCUGUCUUUGAAAGCUUCAUUCAAUGCCGUUUUAUUUGAUUCUCAACAAAUCUAACACGUGCGGAGCACGUGAAGAAGGAGGUUACUCACAAAUCAUAAUCUUUACUCAUGUUUCAAACUGAAAUACCUCCAAUUCUCAUUCAAAUAAAUCCACAAAUUCAAACAUCUAAUACUAAAUAAUCUCUCCCGAGGACAUAAAAAUAAUAACAAAAGCCUCAAACUUCAAAUUACACGUUCAUAAUAGAAAUAACUAAAUAGAAACACGAGUUUAUUCCUCCUCUUAUUCAAAUGGCAAACGGAAACGGAAAAUUACUAACUCCAAAGAUAAGCGCACCUCUCAAAAGAAACUUAAUCUGUAAAAAGUAAUGACGAGGGGUGAGCCGUCAACUCGGUAAGUAAAACCAUUUCUAACAUACUAGGCCUAUCGAUACAAAAAUAUUGAAAGCCUUCUUUUGUUUAAAACAUAUAUUGUAAUCCAUAAAUUUUAUAAAACGAUAUAACACGAUAUCAUAACAUAAAUUCUUAAUAAUUCAGAAUAUCCAAAAGUAUAUUUACUUACAAAGCAAAUCAUAUAAUACGUAUACAGAAAACAAAAGGUUAGCUCAUGUCAUAUAGUGUCACCUAUAGUCCCGGUGACCCGGCCAGAAACAAAAUCAGAAUAUUGUGUGCACACUCAAACAGAAACCCAGUACUGGUCCAGACAGAUAUAUCGUAUAUUACGAUCAGAAUCAGAAUAACUAUGGACAACGAGCCAAAACAUAAUGACUUAUACGUGGCAUUUUGCACUAUAUGUGGCACUUUGCGACGCUUUGGCCUUCAAGAGGUGGCCCCCAUAUAGUCCCAAGAGGUGGCCCCCGUACAAUCAUAAAUAAUUAAACCAUACAUAGGCAUAAAACAUUCUUAUCAGUUUCAUAAAUGUCCAUAACAAUAAUUUAGGCUUGCAUAAUAUUUUAAGAUAAAAUCAUAAAAGGUUGUCAUGUCAUAAAAUAAUUUACAUAUUAAAAGCAAUUAUAAAAUACUUUCUUAAAAAUAAUUUAGGCUUUAAAACAUUUACAUAAAACUAAUUUUGUUAUGAAAAUCUAUUAAUCUUCUAAGUAGUAUAAAAAUAUGUUUUACUUAUAAUAAUAAUAUCAAAAUACUUAUACAUAUCCAGUAUACUUGAAGUUACUUACCUCGACAAAUGAAUUUGAUUUAACACACCUCUAAGCUUCUAAGAGCCUCAAUCACCUUCAAUACCUUAAACAAAUACAAGAUAUGACAAUUAAUAUCUUAUUCUAAGAAUCUGAUUUUCUAAUUCAUACCCGUACAGGUCUGAUUCUCAGAAUUUUAACUCUUAAUCUAAAAGUCAGAAUGAUAUAAUAUUCUAUGGAACUAUUCUUGACAUCCAUGAGUACCCCAUGUAAAAUUUACAAGAGGAUCCGAUAUCAAAAACAUUUUAAAAACUAUUUCUUUCUCAGCAAAUUCGAAACUGUUUUCACAUAAUCUAAACCAAACAAACAGGUUCCGUGGUUUUUAUAAAAUAAAAUACUAAUAAGAAAAUUAUGAAUUAAAACUGGGAAUCCUAGACACAUAUAUUAACCCACAUAUAAACUUUCAGAAUUUUACGAGUUCAUUUGGUGGUACAAAUAAUCUUGUGAAUCCGAUCGCAAUGCUGGAAUUGCAGUUUUCCAGUGCAGUGGUUUCUAUUUCGAAAAUACAUAUAAACUUGAAAACGAAGUCGAAUUUAAUGAAAUAAAAUUUACACAAGAAGCCCUACAUGUCUAGUUUCCAGAAAUAUAAAUUUUAUAAGAAAACUCGUUCAGAAAAUAUAGGUUUAAAUUCGAGAUACUCAUGCUGUCCAGAGUUAUCCUGUGCUUAAUACGUCAAGGAUUGAUUAACUAAACUCAUAAUAAAUCAAAACCCUAAAUAAUGCCUAAAUACAUUCUAAAUCUUGCAUUAUGAUCUAUAACCAUCUAGAAUCGUGCCAAUAUAAACCCUAGAUAGAGUGAUUAGAAAUCUGUUGAGAAUAGGGAGAAUAACUUACCCGUCGCUUUGAUUCUCUCCUAAACGAAGGUUUGAAUCCUAGGAUUUGGGUAGGAGCGUAAAGAGCAGUAGAGAAGAAGAAUAAACGUCAUGGACUUAGGGUUAUGGAAGGAAAAAAGUACGAAUUUAUAGGGAGUCUUAAGAAACCCUAUUUAAUUAGGAAAAAUAACCCUUCUCCAAAAUUAUCUCAUAAAUAACCUCUAUUUAUAAUUAGUAUCCCUUUCUUAAUAAGGGUUAUAGGCCCACCCAUAAUUCUCAAUGAAAACCCAAUUUCCAUAAUUUAAUAUUAUGGAAAUUUGUGGCGUUACAGGCAAUGAAUGUAGUUCUUCUCGUGACAAGCUUUGAAAUAUUAUUUUGAUCUACGCCCAAAUCUAAAAUACAAACGACGUCCAAGAUACACCAAAUCAAAGUUAUCCUCACACCAUUUCCUGCAACAAUACAAAAUUAUUUCAAAUCAUUUUUCUCCUCAAAAACUUGAUGUUUAGUAAAUCUUACUUUUAAAAUAGUAUGAGAAUGUAAAUGACUUAAAUAGAUAUAAAUCUAUCAAAUUUAUUUACACAUGCAUUUAUAAAUAUGUGUAUAAAAUAAUAUUUUAUGUGUAUAUAUAAUAAUUGAUAACUAAAAUAAAUAUUUUAUUUUAUUAAAUGUAUUGCUUUUGUUAUCCCAAUUUUUUUUCUACAUUAGUAAUGUUAUCCCAAUAUGUUGUUAAUAAUAAUCCCUUUAUGUUAUGAAAUAAUUAUAAUUUAUGUGAAUGUUCAUCGAAGCAUUCUUUUAUCUCCUCACAAGCAACUUUUCAUCUCUUAUAACUCCCAUUAUCUCCUUAAUUUAAGGAUUGUUGUCUCUCAUAAUUAUGAUGUAUUACUUACUACUUUAUGGUUGUAUCACUAUAAAAGGAGAUUUUUACUCCUUGUUUGUAUACACUUAGAAGUGUGAAUAACACACAAGAGAUUGAAUAAAAUAUCUCUCUACACACAUUUUGUCUCUUAUUUGCUUUCUUUCUGUCUCUUGCUAUAUGGUUGUGCUUUUUAAUUAAUAGAUUUUAUAACACAUUAUCAGCACGAGUCUCUAGCCACAAGAGAUCAAUUUUCAUCCUCUUUAAAAUAUGGUAAUAUCUCUUCUUUAAUCUUACUCAUAAAAGUAUGAAGUAACAAUCUUGAUUUUUCCUAAGAUGAUAUUUACAUUCGCAUAUGUAUUUUGAUAAUCUAGAAUAAUGCAUCAAUGAAUUAAUGCUUUUAUAUCAUCAUUACUUAUAUUGUUAUUGUUUGACAUUUCUUAUUCUAAUAUUCAAUUGCUAUUAUAUAUUUUCCAUUCUUGAAAUUCAAAAAGUUCAUCCUAAAGUGUGAAUACUAUAAUAUACAAUGAAAGAAAAUUAAGAAUGCAUCCUUGGGGGAUUGCAUUGCUUAUAAUGAAGAUUUUCUUUCAAAAUAGGUUCCUGAAGAACUAUUACAAAAUUAUGAUGUCAUUCGUCACCAUCUUGUUUAUGAAGGAUUGACUAUAUAAGUGUAUAUUUUAUAUGUCCUUGAAGGACGUGUAUAUUUUAUAUGUCCCUGAAGGACUAUGUAACGCCCAAAUUUGUAUUAUUUUAUUUUUUAUGGAAUUUAUAAAUAGCGUUUUUGCCCUUAUAAAAAGGGUUAUUCAUGGGAUAAUUUUUAGUAAAGGGUUAUUUUUCCAAAUUCAAUAGGGUUUCUUAAGACUCACUAUAAAUUCAUAUUUUUCCCCUUCCAUAACCCUAAACCCAUGACGUUUCUUCUUCUUCUCUACUGCUCAUUACGCUCUUACCCAAACCCUAGAAUUCAAGUUUUUGCUCAGGAGAGAAUCAAAGCGAUUGAUAAGUUUAUUAUCCUUAUUCCCCACAAGAUUUCCAAUCACUCUAUCUAGGGUUUACAUUGUCAUGAUUUUAGAUUGUUAUAGAUUAUAAUGCAUGAUUUAGAAUGUGUUUAGACUUUGUUUAGGGUUUUGAUUUAUUAUGAGUUUAGUAAUCAAUUCUGAACGUAUUAAGCACACAUGAUAAUUCUGGACAGAAUGAGUACUCGAAUUUAAACCUAUAUUUUCUGAACGAUUUUUCUUAUGACCGUUUUUAAAACUUACAUUACUUUUAAAAAUAAAAUUUACUAAAUAUUUAAUUUAUUAUAACUAAUUAUUUUUAUAGUACAACCACCAUCAAUUAUUUAAAAUUAUAGCAUUAGCAAUCCGGCUCUUAGCUACAAGCAAUGGGCCAGUAAUGUACUCGUCAUUGAUAAAAACUUGUCCAUUUCACCGGACUAACACUCGCGCCACGCUAUCACUCAAUUAUAAACUGAAAAUAUUCGGAUAAGAAAUUAAAGCCACUGAAUGAUUGAAUUUCGAGUCUUCAGAGAAAUGCAACAGCGCUCAAUUUCAAACAAAGAAGCAAAACACCCGCGUUUUAGUGCCGCCACUGCUCAGCUCUCUCUAAGAACUCUGCCCUCUCCUGCAAAAUUAUAGUUGGCCUCUCGAAAUAGGUGAAAACAUUAAUACCCUUUUCUUUAUUCUACGUUUCCGAGAAAAUGCAAGAAAAGGUUUCAAGUAAUUAACUAUGUGACUUCUUUUUGUGUUAAUUUGAUAGACAGUGUUCGUUAUGGAACUGCAUUAUUGUUUACUGAGUUUAAAUUCUAGUGGCCAGAUUAUUUUAGAACAUGCAGAUUAAUUACAUUUAGUAAUAAAACAUACAGUAAUAAUAUUAAAAUUUCCAAUGUGGACACAACUUCUUCUAGAUAGCAUGCUUAAUAAUUAAACACGGAAUUGUUGGACACAGCUUCUGCAUGCUGCUGAUGCCUUAUGGACUGGUUUUGUGGAAAAUGCUCAAUAUUAUAUUGAUUAUCUUUUUAGUCAUUCACAUUCUUUACGGGUAAAAGACGCCGAGAAAGGGAAUGAUCAAAAAGAUAAACGAUAUUGACCGCUCGAUUACAACAGUGCCAGUAGAAUUGAUAGAAAAAGCUUUUGCACCAUGUAAGUGCUCAUUAAUUAAUGAUUUUCAGGAAGAAAGAAUUGUUCUAUCCCUGUUUGGAGUUUGAGCAACAUCCUUACAUCUGUAACAUUCAACUUUUUGAUCCUUCCAAUGAGUUUAAUUAAUUCAUAGCUGUGGAAAACGAGUUGGAAUAGUUUGAAAUUUUGUAAAAUUGGCCACGACUAAUGCACUCAAUUUUGCUUGGUGCACCGAGUCUAAAAGUAUAAUAAUGGAUAGUUAGACUCCCUCCCUUAAUUUCACUCCCUCCCUUAAUUUCAUUUCAUACUUGCACACCAUUUCUCUUCUAUAUAUAAUCAUGCAUGUUUAUUGUGAUUUCAUCAAGAGCUAAGAAAAGAACAAAGAAAAAAAUGGGUUAUUUAACUCAGCCUUAUCAACUUGUCAUCUGCCUCCAGUUAUCGCUCUUGUUUUUUCAGUGUUCUGCAAAGCUUUGCUCUCAAGAACAAAGUUCAGCAUUACUCCAAUUUAAGCAACUCUUUUCCUUUGAAAAAACAUCUUCUUCGCAAUGUGAUGGAUACCAACAAUCUUAUCCAAAGAUGAAGUACUGGAAAGAGGAUGCUGAUUGCUGCUCCAGCUGGGAUGGAGUGACAUGUGAUAUGGUGACGGGUCAGGUGAUUGGCCUGGACCUCAGUUGCAGUUGGCUUCACGGCAGCAUCUCUUCCAACAGUAGCCUUUUCUUUCUUCCUCGCCUGCAAAAGCUUAACCUGGGUUCCAAUGAUUUCAAUUACUCUAAGAUUUCUUCUGGCUUUAGUCAACUCCGGAGCUUGACACUCCUUAACCUCUCUUCCAGCAAUUUCAC